UACGUAGGUGGCGAGCGUUGUCCGGAAUUACUGGGCGUAAAGGGCGCGUAGGCGGAUAUUUAAGUCAGAUGUGAAAACUCCGGGCUCAACUUGGAGAUUGCAUUUGAAACUGGGUAUCUUGAGGACAGGAGAGGAAAGCGGAAUUCCUAGUGUAGCGGUGAAAUGCGUAGAUAUUAGGAGGAACACCAGUGGCUAAGGCGGCUUUCUGGACUGUAACUGACGCUGAGGCGCGAAAGCGUGGGGAGCAAACAGGAUUAGAUACUCGU
rnacentral:rRNA from 1 species